rnacentral:rRNA from 1 species
AGUUGGUGGGGUGACUUGUCUGGUUAAUUUCGAUAACGAACGAGAUCCGAGCUGUUUAGUUAUAUGAGCGUAUUGUUUACGUUUCGUAUCCUAAAUGGACCAUCAGUUGAAAGCUGACGGAAGUGACGGGCUAAAUCAGG